rnacentral:rRNA from 1 species
GAUGAACGCUGGCGGCGUGCUUAACACAUGCAAGUCGAACGGAAAGGCCCUGAGUUUGCGGGGUGCUCGAGUGGCGAACGGGUGAGUAACACGUGAGUAACAUGCCCCUGACUUUGGGAUAACUUCAGGAAAAUGGGGCUAAUACAGGAUAGGAGAUCCUGCUGCAUGGGGGGGGUUGGAAAGUUUCGGCGGUGGGGGCUGGAUUAGCGGCUUAUCAGCUGGCUGGUGGGGUAGUGGCUUACAAAGGCUUUGACGGGUAGCCGGCCUGAGAGGGUGACCGGCCACAUUACUAGUGAGAGACGCACCAGACGCGUACGUUAGGCAGCGGGGGAGAGUAUUGCACAAUGGGCGGGCGCCAGAUGCAGCAAUCCCGCGUUCGUGAUGCCGGCUUUCUAGUUGUAAACCGCUUUCUCCGUUGACGAAGCGUGAGUGACGGUAAUGAGUAAGGAAGCACCGGCUAACUACGUG